GACGAACGCUGGCGGCGUGCUUAACACAUGCAAGUCGAGCGGUAAGGCCCUUUCGGGGGUACACGAGCGGCGAACGGGUGAGUAACACGUGGGUGACCUGCCCUCAGCUCUGGGAUAAGCCCGGGAAACUGGGUCUAAUACCGGAUAUGACUCCAUGACGCAUGUUGUGGGGUGGAAAGCCUUGUGCGGCUGAGGAUGGGCCCGCGGCCUAUCAGCUUGUUGGUGGGGUGAUGGCCACCAAGGCGACGACGGGUAGCCGGCCUGAGAGGGCGACCGGCCACACU
rnacentral:rRNA from 1 species